CUCAACUCCGGUUCGGCAGUGGAAACUGGUGGGCUAGAGGGCGACAGGGGUAGAGGGAAUUCCCAGUGUAGCGGUGAAAUGCGUAGAGAUUGGGAAGAACACCGGUGGCGAAAGCGCUCUACUGGGUCGCACCUGACCCUCAGGGACGAAAGCUAAGGUAGCGAAAGGGAUAGAUACCCCUGUAGUCUUAGCCGUAAACGAUGGAUACUAGGCGUGGUUGGUAUCGACCCCAGCCGUGCCGAAGCUAACGCGUUAGGUAUCCCGCCUGGGGAGUACGCACGCAAGUGUGAAACUCAAAGGAAUUGACGGGGGCCCGCACAAGCGGUGGAGGAUGUGGUUUAAUUCGAUGCAACGCGAAGAACCUUACCAGGGCUUGACAUCCCGCGAAUCCCAGUGAAAGCUGGGAGUGCCUUCGGGAGCGC
rnacentral:rRNA from 1 species